CACCCGGGCCCGCCCAUCUCAGGCCGGCAGUCCGCCUCAGGCUCUCCGCUUCGCGUCCAGCCGCCGUGGUGGCGUCUGGGAACUGAAGAUGCAGAAAUGGAGGUUCAGAAAGUCAAAAUGGGGGUCACGUAGCAGGGCUAUAUGGUGAGAAGCCAUCUGGUGAAGGGGCUCUUCGGGGUGGUGUGAUUCUGCCACUCUGAAACUUCACAACAUUUUUUUUUAUUAGUCUUCGUGCUAGGAGGAAGAGAUGCCAACAGCCCCCCAAGUGUUCUAGUAUCCCAGCUGAAGCAAUAGGCAUGUGAGUGAAGAAGCAGUCUUGGACCUUUCAUCUUCAGAGAAUGUCACGAGGAACAGAGAUAAGCCACCCCUGCUGAGCCCUGCCCAAUCUGCAGAUUCGAGUCUCACUCUGUCGCCCAGGCUGGAGCGCAGUGGCGUGAUCUCGGCUCACUACAACCUCUGCCUCCCGGGUUCAAGCCAUUCUCUCUGCCUCAGCCUCCAAAGUAGCUGGGAUUACAGGCACUGGGGAAACUCUUUUUCUCCUUACUCCUGGAGAUUCUGAUUUCACUGUGCGACCUGAUGGGGAGUUGCCAGGAGAAGGACUGCGUCGGCCUUUGGAAGCUGGUGAAGCCGCACUUGCCUGGACCUCUCCUGGAGACUCAGCUGCUAAGUGAUUCAUUUCAGAUCCAUCUCCUUUAACUGGGAUUGGUUUUACCACCUGAAUCAAAGUAUUCCAAUAUUUUGAUUACUUAAAAAUAUAAAAGGAAUACCCUUUGCCAUCUCAAUAUGGCUUCAAUGAAGAAUUUCCUACCACCAUUCUAUGGCAGUUAGCUGCUCUCCCCCUGCAUGAAGGUAACAAUGUUGACUAGCAACAUCUAGAAUAUGAAGACUGCUGUACAAGGCUGCUUCUGCUGGUAAUGAGGGAGGGAAGAAGCUCUAGCCAGAAGACAAAGGAGGCUUCAACUGUUUCUUUAAUAUUAGUUCCUUUAAAAAAUACACAUCCAACUGCACUGCAGCAAGUACAAUAAAAUAUUAACAUUUAUUAAAUACA